rnacentral:rRNA from 2 species
GUCGGACGGAUGUGAGAAGCUUGCAUCCCAGACCGUCAGCGGCGGACGGGUGAGUAACACGUGGGCAACCUGCCUGUAAGACUGGGAUAACUCCGGGAAACCGGGGCUAAUACCGGAUAAUUCUUUCCCUCACAUGAGGAAAAGCUGAAAGAUGGCAUCUCGCUAUCACUUACAGAUGGGCCCGCGGCGCAUUAGCUAGUUGGUGAGGUAACGGCUCACCAAGGCGACGAUGCGUAGCCGACCUGAGAGGGUGAUCGGCCACACUGGGACUGAGACACGGCCCAGACUCCUACGGGAGGCAGCAGUAGGGAAUCUUCCGCAAUGGACGAAAGUCUGACGGAGCAACGCCGCGUGAGUGAUGAAGGUUUUCGGAUCGUAAAACUCUGUUGUCAGGGAAGAACAAGUACCGGAGUAACUGCCGGUACCUUGACGGUACCUGACCAGAAAGCCACGGCUAACUACGUGCCAGCAGCCGCGGUAAUACGUAGGUGGCAAGCGUUGUCCGGAAUUAUUGGGCGUAAAGCGCGCGCAGGCGGUUCCUUAAGUCUGAUGUGAAAGCCCCCGGCUCAACCGGGGAGGGUCAUUGGAAACUGGGGGAACUUGAGUGCAGAAGAGAAGAGUGAAAUUCCACGUGUAGCGGUGAAAUGCGUAGAGAUGUGGAGGAACACCAGUGGCGAAGGCGACUCUUUGGUCUGUAACUGACGCUGAG